CGCGGGGUGGAGCAGUCUGGUAGCUCGUCGGGCUCAUAACCCGAAGGUCGUGGGUUCAAAUCCUGCCCCCGCUACCA
rnacentral:tRNA from 1 species